UCGAGAWAUCGAAGAUCCGGACYUGUUUGAGGGAGACAUCAAACUAACUAGAGGACAAAGAGUAGAACUGGAGACGAGAGGAGAAAGAGCAUUCAUCAACUACAGACUAUGGCCUAAUGCAGAGAUUGUCUACGAUGUUGAAGCCUCUAUUUGUUGUAACUUCGUAAUCAUAUAACUUCGUUUCACGAGUCAAGUAAAAUCACCCUCAUCGGAGAUAGUAUACCAUACCCUGUUGUUCCAAUGGAAGUAUCCUAAACCUAAAAAAAGAUCUGGGCAUCGAAUACAUUCCUCCAAUCACGAAGCAGCUCUUAACACGAACUGCUUGAGAUGUUUACGUAUGCCAAGCUAUUUGGACCAAUCAGCACCAAUGAAAAAACGGCUGUUACAAGAACCUCCUCAGGCCAGGAACGAAACCGAGGAGCUCUGGGUGCGAGAAUGGUAUUUUAUUUGAACAUUCUGAUCAAUAAAACACAUUUUGAAGAA